AGGUAUAACUACAUUUGUUUAUUUAUUUAAUAGAGCACAUGUAAAAUACAUAAAUGGCUAUCAAAACUGACAAAAGUCAAGUAUAACAUAAACAAAAUUCUAUAUUAAAUAAAUAAGUAUACAUUUUGUUCAAUGGAAUGUGUAACGAAAGGAUGCAGACUUUAUCUUGACCUAGUUUUACGCAAGGUAAACAGAAUGGCACAGCAAACUCCCCAUGGUCCUGGGUUCAAGAAUUUGAUGGUGCCUCACCCCCCCCCCC